CUGAAGGCAUUUUAUGUCUUCAAAAUAACUAGACAUGGGCUGGGGCUGGGGCUCAGUGGCAGAGUGCUUGCCUAGCAAUGUGUGAGGCACUGGGUUCGAUUCUCAGCACUGCAUAUAAAUAAAUGAAUAAAAUAAAGGUUUAUCAACAUCUAAAAAAAAUACAUUUAAAAAAAAAAAAAAACUAGACUAGUGGGACAGUGACUCCCAUUGAGGCAGGUGCCCCUGUAGGUUCAGAAGCCCUUAGGAGAGCCGGGUGUGGUCUGCAGCAACCGGUGUUCCUCAUGUAGCUGGAUGCUGAGUGGACAGUGGCACUUGGAAGGUGUCCAUCUUGGGGUCUGCGUUUCUGGCCUGUUCCAGGCACUCCACAGAAGCAGCAGUGGCCUGGGCGAACUUGGGUCCACUCAGACCUGUUGACGUGAGCGUUAAGUGCUAAAAGCAUCACAGUGAAAACCAGGAUAGUUCAAGAAGAGCACAUUGGCAAGCUUUCCGCCCCCUCCUCUCUGUACAUUAAAACAUAACCAUCUUUUUUUUUUUAACCUUUAGAAAGUGAACUUGUUUUGAAGUUACUUCAAACAGAAAAGUUGAAUUUUACCGAAAUUGCAUCUGUACUCUCCCUGUCCCCCCAAUUCAGAUAUUCCACCAAGUCAGGAAGUCAGCACCACCACCCCGUCCCGGGACCUCAGUUCUGGGCUUGUCGAGCAACACACGUUGCUUUGACCUUCCGGGCCGUCUGGUUGCUCGGCCGCCUGGCUGUCCUUGGGACUUCUCUGCAGUUGACCCUCAGCCUGCGUCUGGCUGAUGAUGACCAGGCUCGGCAGUACUUCUGAAGGGAAAGCCACAGAAAUGACUCUCUGCCGUGUGUCACACCAGGGUUGAGGCGUAGGUGUCCAUCAGCGUUGGUCACCCACUUGUGUCAGGUUGCUCCACUGUGGGUCACGCUUCCCUUGGUAACCUCGGGGUGUUGUGGGAGGCUAGUUCCUGCCGCGCUUCCUCCUUCCUUGCCCUCCACUGGCAACUCCCACUGAGCCCAUGCUGCACUCCCGAGGGCUCUUAUUUCCCAUUGAUUCCGAGUAUCCGCAGCUGAUGCAGUCCUAGGUCACCAUGGUAAGAACCCAUUACCACCACCUGUGUUGAUGCCUUCAUCUUUCCCAAAAGAGGCCACCAGAUGUCUGUUCAAGGUGUCCUUUUAGCUGUGGGAAAGCAUGCAUACUUUAUCACCUUCACCAUGUUUUUUAAGUGUACGGCUUGGUGUAUUAUUUCCAUAACAUUCUGCCGUCCGUGCCUCCAUGUCGGGGCUGUAAAACUGAGGCUGUCCCCGUUGGCCCGUGACGCCCCAUGCCUCCUUCCCCCAGCCCCUGGCAGGCACCUGUGGUCGUGGUCAUCUAAGUGUGAGUGGACUCCUGUGGCCUUCUUUGAGACUGGCUUGUGUUACUUUCAUUUCGUGGUUUGCGCCGUCCCUGGGCGCCUCCACGCUUGGCUAUUUGAAGUAAUGCUGCUGGGGACAUGGGCUUAGGUACCCCUCUGAGGCCUGGCUCUCAGUUCUUUGGAACAUGGACUACAGGGGGCGCCGCCGCACGCUGCGGCAAGGCUGUUCUCUAGGAACCUUUCCCACAGUGCUCUGUGGUGUUGAGGGGGCCCUCCUUGGCGCAGGUGAUUCCGCCAUAGUUUUGACUGGCCUUCUCUGUGAGCGCGCUGCUUGAAGCCUAUUUGUGGAUCCUCUCUGGAGAACAGUGUUCAGACCAUCUGUCCAUUUUUAAAUUGGGUUGGUUGUUGAGAUCCGGAAUUGGCUGGAUAUUCUAGGAGUCGGUCCUUUAUCAGAUACACGAUUUGUGAAUUUUUUCCUCCCAUUCCAUGAGUUGCCUUUUUACUGUUUACAUAUAUAUUUACACACACACAUUUUUUUCAGCACUGGGGAUGGAACCCAGAGCCUUGUGCCUGCUAGGCAAGCUCUUCAACACUGAGCUGCCUCACCUGGAGCCUGUAGGUGUGUUUUUUUGGUAGUGGGAAUUUAAACCAGGGUGCUCUACCACUGAGCCACAUCCCUAAGCCCUUUUUAUUUUGUAAGUUGCUCAGGGCCUUGCUGAGGCUGACCUCAGAACCAUAUUCCUCCUACCUCAGCCUCCCGAGCCCUUGGGUGUGUGCCACUGUCCGGUUCGUGUGCCCCUUUGAUGGACAAAUUUCAUGAAGUUGCCUGUGCCGUUAGUAUCACAUCCAAGAAAUGGCUGCCAAAUCCAGUGCUGUGAAAGAAGCAUUUGCUGUGUUUUCCUCUAAGAGUUUUAUAGUUUUAAGCCUUACAUUAAGGCUCCUAAUCCAACGUGUUUUACCUUCCUGGUGGGCAUUUUCUCAGCAACCUCUGUUCUUUCCCUGUUGAAUGGUCUUGUGCCUUUGUUAAACACCUAUAAUCCCUGUUACUUGGGAGGCAAAGGCAGACUAUAAUCCCCUGUUACUUGGGAGGCAAAGGCAGAAGGAUUACAAGUUCUUGGGCAGUGUCUCAAAAUAAAAAUUUGCUUGUGUAAUGUACACACAGGCUGGGUUCAGGCCUCCGCACUGUAAAGGAAAGUCACUUGACCAUAUUUGUGAGGGACUGUUUAUAGGUUCUUUGAGUCUAUUCCCUGAUCUGUUUUGUCUUUUUAGCAAGAUUUGAAAUCAGGAAAUGUGAGCCCUCCCUCCAGUUUUAUAUUUUAGGUUGUCUUUUGUUAAUCAGGGUGCCUUGACAUUUCUAUUUGAAUUUUUGGAUGGGCUUUUCUGUUCCUGCACAGCUGCAAUUUGCCACGCUGUGAGUGGACUUACUGAAUUUCAACUUGUUAGGAUGCCUGGGAUUCAUCUUGUCCUUUUCCGGUCUAAAAAAAUAAAUAUUAAAAAAAGAGCAACCAGUGCUACUGAGGUGUUAGAGGGCCUGGGCCCAGCGGUCUGUGUGGGUGUCACACGCAUUUGUGUUCACCUGUGGCGCUGAGGAUCAAACCCAGGGCCUCACACGUGCAAGGUGGGUGCUCCACUACUGAGCUACAGCCCCAGCCCAGCCCAGCCCAGCCCCGUCCUCUUCUCCUGCCCUUCUGUUCCUGGAAUAUUCUUAUGCCAAGCUCAGACAUUCACUGGGUGCUUUAUCUUAAACCCCCACAAAGGCAUGUGAGCUAUAGCACUUGGAAAGAAACCUGAGGCUGUGGAUGUGGUGCUGGAGCUCACCUGUUCCAUACAGUUAGAAGCCUAAUGAUUAAUGAAGCAGCACAAUUUUUUUCUUGGGAGUUCUUUGCUACUGUGUAUUUGUACUGUUUGUUUUAAUGCAUGUAUACAAAAUAUACAAAUAUAGAAUGUAUGUGUGAAACUAUUCUAAUUCAUCAUCGUUUAAUUGGCAUCCCACUGUUAGAAAUGUGUACUUUAUUAUGUGCUUAUUAACCCCAUUUCAAAUUUUUAAAGUCCUUUGUAUAUUCUUUCAUAAACACUUAAAACCACGCUGGGGCUGGGUGGUAGAUUGCCUGUCCAGCAUUUGUGAG
rnacentral:lncRNA from 1 species